GGAGUUGUGGCUCAGUGGCAGAGCGCUUGCCUAGCAUGCGUGAGGCCCUGGGUUCAAUCCCCAUCACCA
rnacentral:tRNA from 1 species